rnacentral:lncRNA from 1 species
UUGGUUCAUAGGAUAGGAUUAUCAUAGGAAUAGGAAUCUUGUAGGAAAUGAGAUGACAUGUAUCUCAAAUCCUAUGAAUAGGAAUAGGAAACAAGAUGUUAUUUGGUUGACACCAAAGGAAUUUUUCCAUUGAGUCUAGGCUCUUUUUUAUUUUCCUAUGAAAUGUGGAGGAUAGGAAUCAAUCCUAUGUAGGAAUAGGAAUCCAUUUCUAUGAACCAAAGGGCUCUAAAGGAAAAAAUCCUAUAAAAAUCCUAUCCUCUAGAAUUCCUAUGAAAUUCCUCUAAACCAAAGGAGGCCUUCAUAGGAAAAUAAAAAAGAGCCUAGACUCAAUGGAAAAAUUCCUUUGGUGCCAACCAAAUGACAUCUUGUUUUUUAUUCCUACUCAUAGGAUUUGAGAUACAUGUCAUCUCAUUUCCUACAAGAUUCCUAUUCCUAUGAUAAUCCUAUCCUAUGAACCAAAAGAGGCCUUAUUUUCCUAUGAAUUGUGAAGGAUAGAAAGAAUUCCUCCAUAGGAAUAGGAUUCCAUUCCUACAAACCAAAGGGCUCUAAAGGAAUUUUUCCUACAAAAAUUCUAUCCUAUGAAAUUCCUACAAAAAUCCUCCAAACCAAAGAAGGCCUAAAACUUUUGUAUGAUGACAUUUUAUUAAGUUGAGACUAAUAUCUGCAUGACCUCGUAUGUUUGACCGUAGGCAAUAGCUCAUGGAGAGAGUGCAACACUGUAUGCAAACAGGAGUGUUUGUAAACUACUCAAGGGUGAUGGUGAAGGUGCUUUGUCAGAUGCUCUCAGGAGCAGAAUGCUGCGAUCUGAUUGGGCAAAAGCUUGCUACCGUCAAGCUGCAGCUCACAUGCUACUCAAGGUGCCUCUAGAUAGCCAGUGUGUUCAAUUACAGAGAAGAUUACAUUGUUAGGAUCCUUAACUUGGAGCCCAAGGGAUAGACUAUAGAGAUAGUUACAAGAGAUAAGAUGAAAUCACAACUAACUACCCUAGUCUAGGCUCGGUGGAGACGUCCUGGUUGAACCGGACCUUGCACGCCAUAUUUGUCGCUUAACACUUUUUAGCUGACGUCUCCAUUCCUUUCGGUUGAAUUCAUGCAGGAAGGCAAGGGAACUCAUGAAGAACCCUCCCGGCGAAGGCGAGCAGUGAGACACGGACUCCUGGGAUGCAACAUGUGCCAGUUUUCACUAAACUAGAGCAAGUAGGGCCUUCUAAUCCUUAUGUUCUGCUAGGAACCAAAACUCUCAUUCAUGUGGAGCUACGCCUUAAGACUGCUAACACGACUUGUGUGAAUUUAUCUUGUCUGGCAUGUGGAUCUUACUCGCCGUAUUCAGUCACUUUACAUUUGGUUAGACUUAUUAUCUUUCAUGUGCCAGUUGCUUCUGAGGGGCCUGCUAUAUUUCUUAUGAGUAUCAUGUGUUCAAGUCUGACCGUGACGGCAGUUUAUAAACUGUAUAUACUACUAUGUAGUAUUCACUAAACGAAGUGGUUGGGCAGUAAACUUUCUUUUUUGAAGGUGGUUGGGCGGUAAACUAACUAACAGUAGAGUUAUGAAAGUCAAUAGUACUCCUUGUGUCAGGGCCGUCGAGUUCCCUAUAACUUGAUCUGGGACGAGGCGUGCCGUCGGAUUUGGACUGAAGCGUUUCCCGGAUAACCAACAGUAACCUGAACUUAGGGCCUCUUUGAUUCGUGGGAUUGUAAAAACAUGGGAAUAGAAAAAAUAUAAGAUUGAAAUGUCAUGCUCAUCUCAAUCUUAUAGGAUUUUCGAUUGUUUGAUUGCAUCAUAGGAAAAACAAAGGAUUCUUUCAAAGAGUUUGAGUGGAUGCUAGAAAUCCUACGGAAAGUAGUAUAAAAAAUUCCUUAGGAAAAAUUUCUAUAGGAUUCAAACCUAUGAAUCAAACAACCAACAUAGAAAAAAUUCCUAAGGAUUUUAAUCCUCCAAAAUUCCUAUGCAAAUCCUUUGAAUCAAAGGAGCCCUUAGGUGAAUCUUUCGACAGUUGUUCAGGAAAGAGGAGCAAGGCUGACAGGGCUGCCUCCUCAGCUCACACCCUUGAGCCAGUUCGUCCGCCUUCUCGUGUCGUGUUCCAGCGCAGUGGAAUGCUUCGUCAAUCGUCACCAUGGCCGAGACUUUUAUUUGUAGUGAUCGUAACGUCCCCGUCGUGUCACGCCAUUACCAUUAAAUCAAAACUCCUUGGCCAGAUUGACCCGACAGCAUCACCAAUUAUUGCUACCCCGGCCUGGAUCAGCACUCCAAAUCAGCUCCCCGCCCGCCUGAAAGCGGCGCAAGUGCAACUUGCGACUUUGCGAGGCAUCUCGUUAGUUAUCCUCGAGAGAGACGUGACACUUGCUCAACUGGCGUUACUUGUACUCCUUCCUGGCGGGCGAUGGUUUGUCCUUCGGCAUAUGCUGCGUUGCGACUUGCGAGUUGCCACCCACCGUCGUCGCCUGGAAUAUACCGCGGCGUGCGAGGUGCGCGAGAGCAUUUUGCACCGGAAAAUGGCAUCGCCGUCGACAUACGUAGACAUAGGGUCAGGCUUGGCAGGACAUUGGGAUUUUACCAUGGGUAGUUCGUAGGUAGGCUCUGGUUCCUCUCCCGAGCUUCGGUUUGACGAGGGUUGACGAUGUACGUCCAUCGAUCACAGUCUUGGCCUCUGACCAUCAGAAGAAACAGAACAGUCGCCGUGAACGCAGCGUUGUGCAACGGCACGGCAGAGAGAACGGGCGUGGCCGUGAAAGCAGCGGACGGACGUGCACAUCACCCGGGCAGCUACCGGUGCGUGUGUCGCUAGCUGCACGCAUGCGCAUCACGCACGGCGCUGGUUCCUCCGUCCGACGCGUCCAACGGCGGAGCGAGCGCGCGACAUGGACCGUGGCUAAGCAAGCUAGGAGACGCGAGGGUUACUGUCACGGCGCGCCAGACGGGGGACGUGGUAGAUCGCGCACGGUCGGACCGCCAGAACCUUCCUGCACGCAGACAAAACACCGCCGGUGGCCGGAAAAGCCGUCCACGUCGACCCCGGCCGGGUCGCCGUCGUCGAGCUAGGCAACGUGACGGAAAUGCGCUUCACGUACGCGAUCCGCAACAGGACGUUGCUCUCCACCUGCGACCGUCCGUUUUAAUGUCUCUAGAAGCUCCUGGUUUCACGUAUAUCAUUCCUUCCAACCGGUGAUUGAAUACAAACAAAAUUAGACCACGUAAAAUCCGAGUAAAUAAUUUUGCAUUUGUGCUAAUUUUACUGCACAGAUCACAUGCUUUAAUUGCAUCUUUUUACCUGUUGCAGUCGAUGAUGACACUGAUGCAGCUGACGGCGAUGUGGCUGACAAAGACGUCGAUACAAUGAGCAGAGAUGCGUUUAUUGCAUCUCCAAUGCUGACACUUAAAUUUGCUUUGACGUAUGUCCACGGACACUCAUGUGGUAGCUGGUCAUCCAUCUGUAUCCGUAAAUGUCCGUUUUUAUAUGAGUUAAUUAUCAUUUUGCCCUCAGUGCUGUUCAUGUGCUCAGUUUUGUCCUCAGAUGCGAAUUGUGCUCGGUUUUGCCCCUAGUCCAUGCACAGCUACUAUGACGAGGUCAAACGGCCAUAUUUGAGUUCAUUCCGUCCGCCGGCGUUAGUGAUUGUGGGUCCGGAGCUUACAUGUGGGACCGCGUGGACGUGGAUCCGGAGCUGACAUGUAGGCCCGUACAACUAAAUCCCCAAAUCAUUCGUAGGAUUCUACCUCACUCUGCCCAUCCGCCGGGCGGCUGUCCUGCGCCGCUGUCAGCACCUGCCCCGCCACCGGCUGCACGGCCUGCUCCGCCGCUACCGUCCUGCGUCUACGCUCCACGGCUACCUGCGACGCUCGCCACCUUCUUGCGACGCCACGGGUGGGGCGCCCGCCACCUGCUCGACCCGCGGCACGGCCUCCUUCCGUGCACCCGGCCGGAGCGCUCAAAGGUGGGGGGCUGCUGGAGCUGUUUGAACUAGGAGGAAGAACCCUAGGGCGAAAUGGCGAGCAGCGGCGACCCCGGAGUAUUUGGCGAGGCAGGCAUCGGGCCGGAGAUCCGCCGCAUCCACGACUGGGUUCCCGAGGGGCCAGUCUCGCCUCCUGUUUAGAUUGAGUUUAGUUGUGCAUUUGAACACUCGAUUCGAGUAGGUUUGCCCAACUAGUGUGCUGAUUGCGUCUCUGUUUUUCGCCCGUUAGGAUGGAGUUGCGGUUUGCUUUCUUGGUGCCCAUUAGAAGGGACCGGUACAUGUUUGAUGCAAAGGAUAAGAAGAAAUACCAAGGAGGUUUCGAUUAUCUGUUGCCAAUGGCUAGUAAUUAGAGUUUCAGACAAUUUGGGGAGGUAAUUUGUAGCCAAUAUCCUUGGGGUUUGCUUGAUGAAGUGGUAUACAAAUACUAUGAUGGGAAAAAGAAAUGAGUGACAGUUGGUAAUGAUGAAGAGCUAGCUACCAUGUUUGUUAGGCAUGAAGAGAAAGAUAAUUUUUAUGCGAGGCCGCAAGUUGAUGUGCUUGAGCAGGCAUUUGGACCUAGGAUGACGGGUGCAACAUCUCGGGGAGAACCAAGUCGUCGUAAUGGCAUCUCUAGCCAGAACAGUUCAGUUGGUGCACAACGACGUGCUGGCUCGACAAGUGUGGGCAACAGCAGUAGGGUCCCCCUUGAAGUGGAGCAUGAUGACUACAAUUCUGGGGUUGAUGAAGAGAAGCUAUAUUCUGAUAUUAUUUGGAAUUUACGACGGGCACCUUGGGCUGAAAAACAAGAUGAGGCUCACAAUGCAGUCCGUGUGGAUGAUGACACGGUGGGUGAGGACGAAGACCUCGCAGCUGUUGAAUGGGACCCUUUGAACCCUCAUAUGGAAGAAGGUACAAUUUUUGCAUCCAUGAAUGAGUGUAGAAAUUGCUGGAAUUUUGUCUAUUUUGGGCCUAGCCCAAUAGCAGUUUCAGAAAUUCCUAAUAAAUCCUAGAGGUCCACUUAGCCCAUUUGUGCCAGGCAAGGGAUACUACUAAAGUUUAGUCCCACAUUACUAGUUGAGUGGGAGUUGGACCUCCUUAUAAGGGAGGUUCUUUCCCCACUUGUAUGAGUAUGAGAACAAGAGGGACAUCCACGCGCGCUCCUCCUCCGCCGCCCGCCUCGCCGCACCGCGCCGCGCCGCAGGUUGCGGGAAUGAGCCGAGCCGAUGUCUAAAUUUUUGACACGCACUACGGGUAUACGAAAGGUCACACGGAAGCUGAAAAUAUUUUUGCGAAAGUGGAGCUCGAAUGCGAACGGUGCAGCUCGUCGGCUGCUGGCUGUUCGCUUCAUCUCCGUCUCUUCGUUUCACCUUCCGUCGCUGCCCUCUCGCCUCCUUCUCUUGCGCCUAUAAAAGGGAGGUCCCUCCUCCCAGAGAAUACAGACCAGAACCUCUUCCUCCUCUCACCACAAGUUCCUGAGCACUGCGUUGCUGCUACGAUCUUCCCCAUCCCAGCUUGCAGCGUGCACCGCAGAUCGGGACAGUAGGCCUCCGAAACCGCACCUUUUGAGUCUUGUACGGGAGAAGGGUGAUAAGGUUUUUGGGGAGCGCUCAGCGCGACUACUGGCUGCUUCAUCAUGGACGAUCCGGUCGUCGACGACUACUUCCCCGACGUCCACGACCUCCUCCACGACAUGGCAGACGAGGACACCGACCCCAAGUCCAGCACUUCUACUGCUGUUGUCCCGUACGUGUUCUUGCUCUUUCUGUUAGAUGUCAUGACACAAUUCUUUGCUAUACUUUCCGUCCUACAUGUGUUAGGUUCUACUUCAUAUAUGCAACUUCAUCUAGUGUCUGUUCUAGAUGUGUUUAAUUCAAGUUCAUAUAUGCAGAUGCUCUUUACCUUCUCUCUGUCAGAACGCAUGACUUGUUUUAUCUCUACUAUAUUAGUCAUGCUUUAUCUAGUAUUUCUGUUAAUAAAAUCAUUCGGUAAAUUGCUCAUAUUUCCAACAAUCCAAAAACCUUAUUAUAGGCAAUUUACCCCGAGUGGUUUUGCUGCUUCCAUGAGACCUCCUAUGUUUGAGGGUAUCCGCUAUAAGAGGUGGUGCGUGAGAGCAGUCUUAUGGUUUCAAACCAUGAGUUGCUAUGACGCCACUCUUGGCAAACCUGAAGGAGAGCUUGAUGCUCAACAAGCACAAGCCUUUCAGAAAAUGGAUACUCUGUUUAAGGCUGAUCUCUUGAGUGUUCUUGGUGAGAACAUAGUUGAUACUUAUGCGUCAAUUGAUAAUGGAAAAGAUAUGUGGGAUGCACUAGAGGCCAAGUUUGGGGUCUCGGAUGCUGGCACUGAGUUGUACAUCAUGAAGCAAUUCUAUGAUUAUAGAAUGACUGAAGAGCGCUCCGUGGUUGAGCAAGCUCAUGAGAUACAGUCAUUUGCUAGAGAACUUGAGCACUUCGGUUGUAUGCUACUGGACAAGUUUGUUGCCAGAGGUAUCAUCACUAAGCUUCCUCCUUCAUGGAGGAACUUUGCUACCUUGCUGAAGCAUAAGAGGCAGGAGUUUUCCGUCCCAGAUCUCAUUGGCACUCUUGAUGUGGAAGAAAAGGCGAGAGCAAAGGACACACGUGCUCGAGGUGUUGAGGGAGGAUCUAGUGCCAAUGUGGUACAGAAGCAGAACUUCCAGCCCCACAAGUUCAAGAACAACGGCAAGUUUUAUGGUAAAGCAAAGUUUGAUGGGAAGAACAAGGUUGUCCAGCACAAGAACUUCAAGAAGAAGAAUGACAAGAAGAAAGGUGUUUGUCAUGUGUGUGGGGAUCCUGAUCAUUGGGCUCCUAGUUGCCCUAAUCGCUAUGGCAAGCGUCAUCCUGGGAAAGGCGGCAAGACCGCUAAUGUUGUCAUUGGAGACAUUGAUAUGAAGGAUGCUGGGUAUGGUAUAUUUUCCACUAUUCUUUCAGUAUGUUAUUCUCCUGAUUGGUUGAUUGACACGGGUGCUAAUGUGCAUGUAUGCGGUGAUAUUUCCAUGUUUUCGUCUUAUCAGACCGCAGGGACUUCAAUCGUGCUGAUGGGCAAUGGUUCAAGUGCUUAUGUUCGUGGUGUUGGCAUGGUCGAUCUGAAGUUUACUUCGGGGAAGAUCGUGCGGCUGAAGAACAUGCAUUAUGUCCCCUUCGUCAAUAAAAAUCUUGUUAGUGGAUCCCUUCUGUGUAGAGAUGGAUACAAGCUUGUCUUUCAGUCGAAUAAAUUUGUAAUAUCCAAGUAUGGAACCUUUGUUGGUAAAGGCUAUGAGUCAGGAGGCCUGUCUCGUUUAUCCUUAUCAGACGUUUGCAAUAAAGUUGUUAAUCAUGUUUGCAACAAUAGUGAAUCAAAUGUGUGGCAUUCACGUCUUUGUCAUGUUAACUUUGGUUGCAUGUCGCGACUAGCAAAGUUGAACUUAAUCCCUAGUUUCAUCACUGUCAAGGGAUCUUAGUGUCAAGUGUGUGUGCAAGCUAAGCAACCUCGUAAGUCUCACAUGACUGCGGAAACGAGAAAUCUUGCACCACUAGAACUCAUACAUUCAGAUCUUUGUGAAAUGAAUGGCAUUUUGACAAAAGGUGGAAAGAAAUAUUUCAUGACGUUAAUUGACGACUCCACUAGAUACUGCCGUGUGCAUCUUCUAAAAUCUAAGGAUGAGGCUUUGAACUUUUUCAAGAUCUAUAAAGCUGAAGUGGAAAACCAACUUGAUCGAAGAAUCAAGAGGCUUAGGUCUGACCAUGGUGGAGAGUAUUUUUCUAAUGAAUUUGAUGCUUUUUGUGCGGAACAUGGUAUAAUCCAUGAGAGGACGCCUCCCUACUCACCUCAGUCAAAUGGGGUGGCCGAAAGAAAGAACCAUACUGUAACUGAUUUGGUUAACGCCAUGUUAGACACAUUGGGUCUCUCCAAGGCAUGGUGGGGGGAGGUGAUAUUGACGGCAUGUCAUGUCCUAAACCGAGUUCCAAAAAGAACAAAGAGAUAACUCCAUUCGAGGAAUGGGAGAAGAAAAGGUUAAAACUCUCUUAUCUACGAACAUGGGGUUGUUUGGCGAAAGUCAAUGUUCCAAUUCCAAAUAAGCGGAAGCUUGGACCAAAAACUGUGGAUUGUGUUUUCCUGGGAUAUGCUUUUCAUAGCAUUGGCUAUAUAUUCUUGGUUGUAAAAUCUGAGGUACCUGACAUGCAUGUCGGUACGAUUAUGGAGUCAAAUGAUGCGACUUUCUUUGAAAAUAUCUUUCCCAUGAAGGAUAUGGCUACCUCAUCUAAUCAGAAGAUGUCUAGUUCAUCGAAUCAGGAACCAGUUACAAUUACCGAACCUGCCAUUUCGAUGGAACACUUUGAAAGUCCUGUGGAGGAGAAUAAUGAAGUUCCUACUAGGAGCAAGAGAUAGAGGACUGCAAAGUCCUUUGGUGAUGAUUUUCUUGUGUAUCUCAUAGAUGACACUCCCAGUUCUAAUUCAGAGGCCUAUGCAUCUGAAGAUGCUGACUACUGGAAGGAAGCGGUUCGUAGCGAGAUGGAUUCCAUCUUAGCGAAUGAAACUUGGGAGAUAACUGAUCGUCCUUAUGGGUGCAAACCUAUAGGAUGCAAAUGGAUAUUCAAGAAGAAGCUUAGGCCUGAUGGUACUAUUGAAAAGUACAAGGCUCGGCUCAUGGCUAAGGGUUAUACCCAAAAGGAAGCUGAAGACUUCUUUGAUACUUACUCACCUGUGGCUCGACUAACCACUAUUCUAGUUCUACUUUCACUAGCUGCCUCACAUGGUAUUCUCGUUCAUCAAAUGGAUGUUAAGACUGCUUCCCUAAAUGGAGAGUUGGACGAGGAAAUUUAUAUGGAACAACUAGAUGGUUUUGUACUAGAUGGUCAGGAAGGAAAAGUAUGCAAGUUGCUGAAGUCUUUGUAUGGACUCAAGCAAGCACCCAAACAGUGGCAUGAGAAGUUUGAAAGAACUUUAACAGCUGCAGGCUUUGUUGUAAAUGAAGCUGACAAAUGUGUAUACUAUCGCCAUGGUGGGGGCGAGGGAGUUAUCCUUUGCUUGUAUGUUGAUGACAUACUGAUUUUCGGAGCAAAUCUGAAUGUUAUUAAGGAGGUCAAGGAUUUACUAUCUCGUUGCUUUGAGAUGAAGGAUUUAGGAGUGGCUAAUGUCAUUCUGAACAUCAAGUUGUUGAGAGACGAUGAUGGUGGGAUUACAUUGCUUCAAUCUCACUAUGUGGAAAAGAUCUUGAGUCGCUUUGGCUACAGUGACUACAAGCCCUCUCCAACACCAUAUGAUGCUAGUGUGUUGCUUCAAAAGAAUCAAAGAAUUGCUAGAGACCAAUUGAAGUAUUCUCAGAUUAUUGGCUCGCUUAUGUACUUAGCCAGUGCUACAAGACCUGACAUCUCUUUCGCUGUUAGCAAACUGAGUCGGUUUGUUUCAAAACCAGGAGAUGUGCAUUGAAAAGCUCUAGAGAGAGUUUUGCGUUAUUUGAAAGGCACUGCAAAUUAUGGAAUUCACUACACCGGGCACCCAAAGGUGCUUGAAGGGUAUAGUGACUCGAACUGGAUCUCAGAUGCUUAUGAGAUAAAGGCCAUGAGCGGAUAUGUAUUCACUCAUGGAGGUGGCGCUAUUUCUUGGAAGUCUUGCAAGCAAACCAUCUUAACGAGGUCAACAAUGGAAGCAGAACUCACAUCACUAGAUACAGCUACGGUCGAAGCAGAUUGGCUUCAUCGGCUCUUGAAUGACUUGCCGGUUGUUGAGAAACCUGUAUCGGGUGUCCUUAUGAACUGCGACAAUCAAACUCUGAUCACAAAAGUGAGCAGCUCAAAGGAUAACAUGAAUUCAUCAAGGCACGUUCAGAGAAGGUUAAAGUCUGUCAGGAAAAUGAGAAACUCCGGAGUUAUUGCAUUGGAUUAUAUUCAAACGUCUAAAAAUCGGGCAGAUCCUUUUACUAAGGGUCUAUCACCUAAUGUGAUAGAUAAUGCAUCGAGGGAGAUGGGUAUGAGACCCACAAUAUGAGUUGUUCACAGUGGUAACCCAUUCUUUGUGAUCGGAGAUCCCGUGAAUUAGAUAUGGAAGACAAGUUGUUGGUCAACUCAGAGGAGAGUAUCCUUACUAUUAACAAUACCACUUCAUGAAGAUGCAAUACUCUUCUAAUCUGCAUGGCAGGUUGAUGUAUAUCUUAAUGUGUUCUAAGUGGCUCUUUUAAGCAGAGAUGUUGUCCUACAGAACAUCUUUUGAAGAACACACCUGUAUGAGUCUAAUUGUUAAACGUCGCAAUCUAUGAGAGUAGGAUUCUCUCUAGUAAACUCAUGAAAAGUCUAGGAGUAUGACGCAUAAGCUCCACCUGCAGGGAAGACCCACGGUAGCCAUGUAUCGGUCAAGGCUUUAUGUGAAGCUAGAUUCGCAGAAAACUUGCAAUUCAAGGCCCAGUCCACUGUUGAAGUUGCUUACUAGUGUAGCAUAGAGUUCUAGGUGGAAGUUCAACUUAACAGUCUCCACUGCAGUACCGGUAUAUAAAACAGUGUUUUGGAACCAAAGGCAAUUUUUGUGUGCCUCUGGGAUCUGGUGGGGGAUUGCUGGAAUUUUGUCUAUUUUGGGCCUAGCCCAAUAGCAGUUUCAGAAAUUCCUAAUAAAUCCUAGAGGCCCACUUAGCCCAUUUGUGCAAGGCAAGGGAUACUACUAAAGUUUAGUCCCACAUUGCUAGUUGAGUGGGCGUUGGACCUCCUUAUAAGGGAGGUUCUUUUCCCACUUGUAUGAGCAUGAGAACAAGAGGGACAUCCACGCGCGCUCCUCCUCCGUCGUUUGCCUCGCCAUGCCAUGCCUCGUCACGACGCGCCGCGGGUUGCCACGCACUACGGGUAUACGAAAUGUCACACGAAAGCUGAAAAGAUUUUUGCGAAAGUGGAGUUCGAAUGCGAACGGUGCAGCUCGUUGGCUGCUGGCUGUUCGCUUCAUCUCCGUCGCUGCCCUCUCGCCUCCUUCUCUUGCGCCUAUAAAAGGGAGGUCAUUCCUCCCAGAGAAGACGGACCAGAACCUCUUCCUCCUCUCGCCACAAGUUCCUGAGCACUGCGCUGCUGCUACGAUCUUCCCCAUCCCGGCUUGCGGUGUGCACCGUAGAUCGGGACAGUAGGCCUCCGAAACCGCACCUUUUGAGUCCUGUAUGGGAGAAGGGUGAUAAGGUUUUUGGGGAGCGCUCAGCGCGACUACUGGCUACUUCAUCACAGACGAUCCGGUCGUCGACGACUUCUUCCCCGACGUCCACGACCUCCUCGACGACAUGGCAGGCGAGGACACCGACCCCAAGUCCAGCACUUCUGCUGCUGUUGUCCAGUACGUGUUCUUGCUCUUUCUGUUAGAUGUCAUGACACAGUUCUUUGCUCUACUUUUCGUCCUACAUGUGUGAGGUUCUACUUCAUAUAUGCAACUUCAUCUAGUGUCUGUUCUAGAUGUGUUUAGUUCAAGUUCAUAUAUGCAGAUGCUCUUUACCUUCUCUCUGUCAGAACGCAUGACUUGUUUUAUCUCUACUAUAUAGUCAUGCUUUAUCUAGUAUUUUUGUUAAUAAAAUCGUUCGGUAAAUUGCUCAUAUUUCCAACAGAAAUGCACUUGUGACAUACUGCAUCAAGAUAGAACAUACUUUCAAAGUUGACAAGAGAGAUCAAGUACGUUACAAAGUGCACUGUCUGACUGAGGGUUGUCCAUGGAGGCUGCUCGCAUCUAAAAUGCGAAAUAGCACUAAUGUUCAGGUCAAAGUGAACCCUUCUAAGCACACAUGCUAGGAAUCAACCCUUAGGAAGGAUACAAUCAGUAGAGCCAAGUCAAGAUGGGUGGCAGAAGAAGUAAAGAAGUGGGUGAAAGAAAACCAACAAGUGGGUCCAAAGGAAUUGCAGAAGAACAUCAAAGAUAAGUUCAAGAUAGAUUUACCAUACAUGAGGUUGUUCAAUGGUAAACAACAUUCUAUGAAUUCUAUUUAUGGUAACUGGCAGGAAAGUUUUCAAUUGUGGUAUUCAUUCAAAGGUGAAGUGGAGAGGACAAGCCCAGGUAGUAUUGUAGAUAUUGAUCACCACACCGUGGAGUACACAUUCAGGGAAGUGACAAAGACCAAGGAAUGCUUUAGGAGGGUUUUUGUCUGCUUUGAGGCUUGUCACCGGGGUUUUUUGGCAGGCUGCAGGCCUUAUUUGGCUAUUGAUGCCACUUUUCUCACAGGGAGGUUUAAAGGGCAAUUAGUAGCAUCUUGUGCAGUUGAUGCACACAGUUUUGUAUUUCCAGUUCCCUACGGGUGUGCUGGAGAGAGAGUCUGGGGAGAGCUGGACUUGGUUUUUGCAUAAUCUGCGCCGGACUAUUGCAUAUCCCAAUGGGUUGGUCAUUCAUACAGAUGCCUGCAAAGGUUUAGAAGUGGUCAUAGACAAUGUGUUCCCUGGAGUAGAGCAUAGGGAAUGCAUGCGUCACCUUGCUGCAAAUUUCAUGAAGAAAUUCAAAGGAAAGGUGUAUACCGACAAUUUAUGGCCAUCAUCUUUGACUUGCAUUGUGAAGAAGCACAACUAACACUUGAGGCAGUUAUACAUGAACCCCAAAAUGAAAGAAUACUUGGAAACACACCACUCCAAGUUAUGGGCCAGAAGACAAUUCAGUGAACUGAGAAACUUAACUAUGUGCAUAAUAAUCUAGCAGAGUCUUUCAACUCAACGAUCCGGAAACUAAAGGGUCAUUAUGUGGUGGAUUUGCUUGAUAGGAUCAGGAUAGAAUACAUGCAGAAAUUUCAUUAUCGUGCAGGGAUAGCCGAGGCAAAAUUCAUGGGCCACAUUAUCAUCCCUGUCGUGAUGAAUGAACUGAAGCAGAAAACAACAGGCUUGAAAAUGAACAUGACUCUUUUCUCGGGUACCACAGCAGAGAUAUCAAAUUUGGAUAAAUAGAAGAGGGAAUGGAGAUAUCCAGUGGAUUUAGAAGCUAGAACUUGCAGUUGUAGGCAAUGACGGAUAACUAGGUUGCCAUGCAUUCGUGCCUUGUUUUUCAUCACUUCUCUCCCAGGUCCAGCAGGGAACAUACAGCAGUAUGUGCAUGAUUACUACUUUGUUGCAAGGUUCAAAGCCACAUAUGCUUAUGCCUUGCCUGAUAUGGAGGGAAAACAACAAUGGGACAUGGUGGACCCUGGAUUCAAGCUUUGCGCUCCAGUUCUAAAGAGAGCAGCAGGUAGACCAAGGAAGAGUCGAAUCAGACCUCGCAGCGAAGGAGCUGGACUUGGAGCGAGGAAGCGUAAGUGCACAAGGUGUGGUGUCUGGUCAUUUCGGUAAGUAUUGUGAUAACACAGUAGAUCCAGAGUUCGGAGAGAGUUUCGAUGAAGGCUUCGAUGAUAAUGUUGGUCAGUAGCCGGUUGCCUCAACAGAUGAUGAAAAUGAUGGUCAACAGCCAGUUGCAUCAGAUGAGGAUUUUGACGAGGUUCCAAAUGAUGAUGGUCAACAGCCGCAUGAUUUUGACGAUGAUCCAAAAUAUCCUCCAAAUAAUGAUUCAAGUGAGGCUUCAAAUGGUGAUCCAAGUGAGGCUCCAAAUAGUGAUCAUGGUGAUCCAAAUGAGGCUCCAAAUGGUGAUCAUGAUGAUCCAAGUGAGGCUCCAAAUGAUGAUCCAAGUGAGGCAUCAAAUGGUGACCAACCUUCUGUAGUUGUGAGUUCUGCUAGGUAUGUAAAUCUUGCAAGGGUCAAAUACUACUGUACAUUUAUCACUUGACAUGAUCACAUUACCCUUUAUGCUUUGCACAGCUCUAUGAUAGAUUUGAAGAAGACGCGCAAGGUACCAACAACCAAGAGGAGAAGAGAAGAAGCAAUGAGCACAAGAUGCACGAGGAGCAAAGUGAUGGCAAGAAGCUCAAGGAAGAGACAGAAGCCCCAACGCUAUUUAUGAAUAAGGGUUACCCUAUGAAUAAUUAUGAAACAUUAUGAAUAAUGUUGUAUUUUUGUUGGAUGAUGUUGGACCUAUGUUAGUACUAUGUUUGAGAUGAUGUUUAAAUCUGUUGGAUGAUGUUUGAAUGAGCACAUGGUUUUUCCUUUUUUUGAUUUUUUUUGAAUUUUAUUUUGUUCAUUUGAAUUCUGGUCAAACCUAACUUUGACCAAGAUUUAAAGAAGUCUAAAACAUCAAAAUGAAAAACUAAGCAUGGAUCCUUCUUAGUCAAUCCAAAAUGAAGCUGUGGUGAGAUUUUUGAAAUUUUCAUGAAAAAUGUGCUAAAAAGAGGGGUCCAAAGAUAGAGUAAACGGCCUCAUUUCUAAGUAAGGUUUUUUUUGACCUUGUCUAAAUCAGCCAAAUAACUUUCCUACACAUAUAUCCUAUAUAUACAGACUAUGUGCGUUGGUUUUUCCAUUUUUUAAUUUUUUUAAUUUGUUUUGAUCAUUUGAAUUCUGGUCAAACUUUACUUUGACCAAGAUUUAAACAAGUGUAAAACAUCAAAAUGAAAAACUCAGCCUGGAUCCUUCUUAGUCACUCCAAAAUGAAGUUGUGGUGAGUUUUUUAAAAUUUUCAUGUUCAUUUCCCCAAAACACUUGUCUUCACUUCAUACAAGAGAGUUUGAGAUACUCGAGAUAUCACACAACACAUGAAACUUAUCGUUUAAAUGUAUGUAAACCUUGUUUAUCAACUUAAAUCAUUAGUAUAUGACAUAAGAAGACUAUGUGCGCAUGUUUUUAUUUUUCUGAUUUUUAUUUAAUUUAUUAUGCUCAUUUGAAAUCAGGUCAAACAUAGCUUUGACUGCUUCAAACCCCUCCCAAACCCUGCUAACCCUAGCGCUGAACAAGGACCGUUCAUCUAACCCUAGCGAUGAUCAAGGGUCGUCGAUCUAACCCUUCUAGAAGAAAUCUGCGGGGAGGAGGGGGUGAUCCGCAAGAUGCAAUCUGAUUGGCUGGGAGAUUUUUUUUAAACAAAUACCGGGCGCGCUGGAUGGACUGUUGGGGCGUCUCGUUGUGUGGGCCUGAGACCGCAGUAAAUAGCCCGUCUCAGCCUUUUCAGGCCUUGCAUGCAUGGGAGGCGGCGACGUGUGUUUGCAUGCGUGGGAGGCGAACGUGCAUGCAUGCGAGCGAAGCGAGCGAGGCGCGCUAGGCAAGCUAGGCUAGCGAGGUGAGCUAGGUGGUUUAGGGCAGCGAGUCAGAUGCACCGCCCGGUCAAAGAGCUAUGCAGUAAUUCAGAUGCACGCAUGCGCCUCAUGCAUCGUUUUCGUGCAAAAAUUAAAGAGUGCAAAAUGUAACGGAUACACACACGCGUCCGGAUUCACACACGCACCAUUCUCAUCCUUUCUCUCUUCCUCUCCCACCCACAGGUUUCUAAAUGGGGUGCCUCUCUUCCUCUCCCACCCACAAGCCAGAUCAUCCGAUCCAUUCUCUCCAACUUGAAACACCCAAGCGACCGAGACCUCCCAAGCGAGACCAAGUGAAGAUGCAGUUCAACGGGCCGACCUUCAAUCGUCCGCCUGUCAUGCUGGAGCUGCGCUACCCAUCGGGCGUGCUCGUGGAGAGGGAGCUCCGUGUGUGGGCUAUUUCAAGGUGGAGGGGUUCCGUAGGACUCACCCACGCCUUCCUCAGAGCCGGCUAUGCCCACCUCCCACGGGGCUCGCCUAGGAUGUUCACCCUCAAUGAGGUUCGUGACCGCGGCGACAUCCUCCUACUGCUCACGGUCACCUUCACCAACCCGUUUGACGCGCGUGAGCUCCUCGGCCAAGUCUUUUGGUGCGGCUGCGAGGCCAUCUUCUUCACCGUGUACAACAUCUACACCAACUACGAGAGCAUCUUCUUCACCGUGUACAACAUCUACACCAACUACGAGAGCAUCUUCCCCACUCCAGGCCAGAUGCACUCCCUUCCCUAUGACGAGGAGGAGGAGGUGUGAAGAUGAAGACGGUGUUGAAGGGGCGCGCGGCCAAGGUGAAAGAAGGAGGUCAAUAUGAAGAUGUUCAAGCCCGGAGUCAAGCUCGUCAUGCUUCGUUUUUAUUUUGGUGCUUUUCUAUGUCAUGUCGUGUCAUGUUUCGUCAUGUGCCCAUGAACUUAUUAUUGUAAGGGUACGGUGUGUUGCAUCUUAUCUAAGUUAUUAGGAUUUAUUAUGUGUGUUAAAGAAUGUCCGUGCCAAAACAUAUCAUUUCUUCCCUAAACCAAGUCAUGAAGUUCGAGAACUUGUGGUUUUCAUUAAUGAAAAUCGGAAGGGGUGAGAAGCCCUCUGUUUCAUUCAAAAAAAGUAAGUCAUGAACUAACAUGCAAAUUUAUUCCUUUAAAUCCUAAACCAAGUGCCACUCCAACCAAAAUCAUGUGGCAGUGCAAACAUACGUUUUCAACCUUCCAACCCUCCAAAAUUUCAAUGCAAAACAAAGGAAAAUCACUCUCAUGCGUGUGCAAACAUUCACCGUCUCACUUUUUUUUUGACAAAUUUCACGGUCUAGCUAUGUAUACCUUCCUUCCCUAUUCAUGUGUAACACCCACGAUGCGGCUAUAUCUCUCACGUGUCAGAGCACGACUUAGAGGCAUAACCGCAUUGUAGGCAUGUCGCAAGAGGGGUAAUCUUUACACAUCCCAUGUACUGAAUAAGAAAGAGGUACAGAGUUGGCUUUUAAUCGCCACUUCACACAAUACAUAAAUAUAGCAUUACAUCAUCCAGAUACAAUCAAGGUCCGACUACGGAACCAAAAUAAAGACAACCCCAAAUGCAUAAGAUCCCCGAUCGCCCCCAACCGGGCUCCACUACUGAUCGUCUCGAAAAGAAAUGUAUUAACGUCCUGAGUCCUCAUCGAACUCCCACUUGAGUUCAGUCGCAUCUCCUGGAAUGGUAUCAUCGGCACCUGCAUCUGGUUUUUGAAAGGAAUCUGUGAGUCACGGGGACUCAGCAAUCUCGCACCCUCGCGAUCAAGACUAUCUAAGCUUAUGGGUAGGGAAAAGUAGUGAGGUGGAGCUGCAGCAAGUACUAGCAUAUAUGGUGGCUAACUUACGCAAAUGAGAGCGAGAAGAAAAGACAAAGCACGUUCGAGAAUCUAUGAUCAAGAAGUGAUCCUAGAACUACUUACAUUCAAGCAUAACCCGAGGUCGUGUUCUCUUCCCAGACUCUGCCGAAAAGAGACCAUCACGACUACACACUCUGUUGAUUCAUUUUAAUUAAGUUAAGUUUCAAGUUCUCUACAACCGGAUAUUAACAAAAUUUCCAUCUGCCCAUAACCGCGGGCACGGCUUUUGAAAAUUCAAAACCCUACAGGGGUGUCCCAACUUAGCCCAUCACUGUUAGAGUUGUGUCGAAUAUAGUGUACAAGGUAGGUUACAGUUGGACUAGGAGUUGUAUUGUGUUUACAUAGGAUGUGGAGUUGUGUCCUAAUAGGACACUUGUAUCCUAGGCCUCUCAUAUAUAGCGGGGGUAGACACACGAUGUAACUUAUGCCAACAUAAUAGCACCGGAACGCGGGGGAAGCCGGCGGCAUGUGCCGGCAUCCAGGGCGACCGGGUGCGGUAUUGUAGCGGUGUCAUGGGGAGGAGCGCACAUAAUCAGGCCCCGGGGAUGUAGCCAUAUUGGUGAACCUCGUUAACAAAUCUCGGUGUCGUGCUCGUGUGAUUGCUUGGUUCUCGGAUGAUCGACGGUAUGCCUCGGAUUUAUUCUAACAAGUGGUAUCAUGAGCUAGGUUAUUUAAAGAUCGAUCUAAAGAAAGGAAGAAAGCAUCGACGGAAGUCUGCAUGAAGCAAUCGUAAUACGGGAUAAGUCAUCGGCGAGUUACGAUGCAAAGCAGAUGUAUUGGUCGAGUCGUAAUCUUCAUGGAAGCAAUGGGAAGCGGUCUCGGCGUGAUAACGUGCAGCAGGCUAGCGGCGCUUGGCACGCGGGUACAUGGCAAAUCGAUUCUAUGCGGGCUCCUGUGGCCUUCGGAUCGAGGCCGACCGGGCGGCUGUUGCGUGCAGGCGGCAGUCAGCAGAUCAGAUCGAAUCUGACCGGAAGCGACCCGGCGGUAGCUGGCAUACCUCGCGUUUGGAGGCCCCAGCAAGGAGCUGGCGUCGUGCGGAGCAACACCAGGCCGGCAGCCCAUUGAAGGUGCAGCGGUUGACCAGGGCGUGGCUGACCAGCUCGGGCAGGAGGCCCAGUUGAUAGUAGACCGGUGCGGGCUGGCUAGGAAAUGGCCGGCUGCUGGUGGGUGUGCUCCAUGAGCCAUGCGCGUGAGAGCUAGAGGAGUCACGUACAGGGAUUUGUUUUGAGACAAAAAAGGAACCGGCCAGGGUCACGUGUGUGUACUGGGUGCACGGAGAAGCUAAAAAAACAAAUAGAGACAAUGAAAAUUGUGCAGUUGCAUGGAAUUUUUUUUGGAGUCGAUUUGUUGUGAAGGCUUGGAACACGUGGACAGGUUACGGAGGCGUGCGGACAAGCACGUCAUGAGGAUCACACAAACACAGGGCGUCAAUCAAUGCACGGAGAUGUGCAGGUGAUCAUGAUGCAAGGUCGAGCAUGAUUGCAGUCGGUUAAUUUCGGCUGGGUUGGACUGGACUGUCUGACGGAUCGACUGGGAUGUCGGUUGGUACAGAAGACGGUGGUGGGAUCGGCGACGACGACAUAGGAGCGUGGUGCUGAUGGUGACCGUUUUUUGGGCGUGGAAACACGCGGCACGGGCCUGAGUGCUUGUGUGACUUCGACAAGACUAUGACGCGGGGUUGAUUCAAGACGGUGCACACGGAGCUUGAAGUUGACGGGGCGCGAGGGUGGACUGAUCAUCUACCAUGGAGUCAUGUUGAAGGUGGAGUUGGAUUGAGGGGCUACAGUGUAAGGAUCCAGGGAAUCGAAGCCUAUUCAGCAAGGAGGAAAAGCGAGUGACAUGCAGUUUGGACUGGAACCCAGUGGUCUGAUGAAAGCGUGAAACUCGUCAUCGGUCGAUGAUGAUCGGUGUACUCUGCAGUAGGGGUUGAGUGGUGUGGGUUCGCGACCCUUGAGACUCGACCGGGACAGCGGAAGCUCGACGCAGUAAUAGUGGCGAGGCGUGCGGUAUGCACGGGACAUGGAGACGGGCCAGGGCUCUGGUGGUCAUACAUGUGGUGAGACAUCUGCGAAUUUGACUCGGAAUGACUAAAAGCAAUGGUGAAAUUCCUUCAUGUUUCAGACAGACAGUCAAGAAAGGAGUGGUGAUGUUGAGUUCAGGUAACUCUUAUGUGUGACACCCAAUAUGUGAGUUGUUCAAUUUCACGCAGGUCAGUGAUCAGUGUGUGAUGGCGUUGGACUGAUACUCUGGAAGUUGGGAGCGCAAACUAGAGUGAUGUGGAACUUAGUUUCGUUCGAGUGUUGACUCUGGUCAAGAAAAGAAGGGACUACAAGUUGCAGGUGGAGUCAUAUGGAGUCUUUGGAGUAGCAGCGGUACUCACGGGAUAAGCUCAAGUCCAAUGUACAUGGAAGUUUGACGCAUUGACGAAUUCAAGGUGGUGGAGAAUAUUCGCCAAGGUGGAGUUUGUUAGAGUUGUGUCGAAUAUAGUGUACAAGGUAGGUUACAGUUGGGCUAGGAGUUGUAUUGUGUUUACAUAGGAUGUGGAGUUGUGUCCUAAUAGGACACUUGUAUCCUAGGCCUCUCAUAUAUAGCGGGGGUAGACACACGAUGUAACAUAUGCCAACAUAAUAGCACUGGAACUCGGGGGAAGCCGGCGACAUGUGCCGACGUCUAGGGCGACCGGAUGCGGUAUUGUAGUGGUGUCAUGGGGAGGAGCGCCCAUAGUCAGGCCCCGGGGAUGUAGCCAUAUCGGUGAACCUCGUUAACAAAUCUCGGUGUCGUGCUCAUGUGAUUGCUUGGUCCUCGGAUGAUCGACGGUAUGCCUCGAAUUUAUUCUAACAAUCACAAGCUCUCACGGUCAAUGAAGGAUAUUCCUUCUCCCAGGACGGCCCGAUCAGACUCGGAAUCCCGGUUACAAGACAUUUCGACAAUGGUAAAACAAGACCAGCAAAGCCGCCCGAUGUGCCGACAAAUCCCGAUAGGAGUCGCACGUAUCUCGUUCUCAGGGCACACCGGAUAGGUCAAGCUACGAGUAAAACCAACCCUCGAGUUACCCAGAGGUGGCCCCGCAGGCUGUCCGUUUCGGACCAAUACUCAGAGGAGCACUGGCCCGGGGGGUUUAAAAUAAAGAUGACCCUUGAGUCCAGUAAAGCCAACCCUCGAGUUACCCCGAGGUGGCCCCGCAGGCUGCCCGUUUCGGACCAAUACUCAAAGGAGCACUGGCCCGGGGGGGUUUAAAAUAAAGAUGACCCUUGAGUCCGCGGAACCCAAGGGAAAAAGGCUAGGUGGCAAAUGGUAAAACCAAGGUUGGGUCUUGCUGGAGGAGUUUUAUUCAAGGCGAACUGUCAAGGGGUUCCCAUUAUAACCCAACCGCGUAAGGAACGUAAAAUCAAGGAACAUAACACCAGUAUGACGGAAACUAGGGCGGCAAGAGUGGAACAAAACACCAGGCAUAAGGCCGAGCCUUCCACCCUUUACUAAGUAUAUAGGUGCAUUAAAGUAAACAAGAUAUAAUGAUGAUAUCCCAACAAUAAUCAUGUUCCAACAAGGAACAUCCUCCAAUCUUCACCUGCAACUAACAAGGCUAUAAGAGGGGCUGAGCAGAGCGGUAACAUAGCCAAACAACGGUUUGCUAGGACAAGGUGGGUUAGAGGUUUGACAUGGCAAUAUGAGAGGCAUGAUAAAGCAUGUGGUAGGUAUCGCGGUAUAGGCAUAGCAAUAGAGCGAGCAACUAGCAAGCAAAGCUAGAAGUGAUUUCGAGGGUAUGGUCAUCUUGCCUGCAAAGUUCUCCGAGUUGACGUAAGCAUGAUCCUCGUAAGCGUACUCAAUGGGUUCCUCGAUCACGUACUCGUCUCCCGGCUCUACCCAAAGCAAGAACACAAGCAAAGGGAAACACAAUCAACCACGGUGCAAUGCGCAAGCAACAUGAUGCAAAACAUGGCAUGAUAUGUGGGAAGUAAUAUGCAAUGCAUAUGCAUGCUUCGGAAAGGAAAGAUUAAACUAGGCCUCAACUUGGCAAACUAAGAGUGCCGCUGGAAAGAUGAGUUAAUUUCGAUCGAAAUCGAUAUAAAGAUCACCGGAAUUGGAUGCACGGUUUGCAAAUGGCAAGCAAAACAAUAACGGCACUAUCCUGCGAUUAACAGCACGAUGACAUCUAAAAUGCAACAAGAAACUAAGCUACUGCACUCUAACAUAGCAAUAAAGCACAUGACAGUGAUCCACUCAAGAUGCUUGACAAAAAAUGAACACUGAGCUACGGCUAAAUCACACAAUAGCAGAUCCAAAUAAGCAUGGCAAAAGUGCAAAAGAUAUCAGGUUCACACACUUAGUGAAAAUAACAUGUCAGGAUUUAACAUUAGGAAGCAAAGUUUAGAGCAAGAUAACAACCUGCUACAGGAACAUAUCAUGACAAAGCAAGGCAUGGCAUGAAACUACUCAAAGCAUAUAACAAAAGUCCCUUACUGACCAUAAGCCAAAAAGGAUCAGAAGAUAUGAUGGCACCCAUGUAAACAUAGCAAGUUUCGUUAACAGAUUCAGACUUAACAGAAAACUGGAUAUGGCAAAAACAGAGUUACAUAAGCAUGUUUGCGAGCUCGAUGCACUCACCACAAGGCAUUUCAUGACAAACUUAGCAUACACCCAGCAAGAAGACAUGUUCAAGAAGCUAACCAUGGCAAGAACAAUCUCAUAUAAUGCAUGGAUCAACUACAACAACCUCGGCAAAAUUGCUUAACACGUAAACAAUCUGUCAGGAACAUUUUAUAGCAAAAGUAGAGUAAGAUUGAGUCAUUCUAGGGGACUCCAUAAUUUCAAACAAAGACAUGGAUGGAUAGAACAUAACAAUAUCUUAAAAUCAUCCUUACUGAAUAUGCUCAAAAGAGGCAUGGAUCACUCUGUAGCAACAUGGACACGUGGCAUAAAAAUAACAUCAGGAAAAUGUCUUAGAAGAAUUCUAAGUCCCUGAAAACAGCAACAUCACGAGAGCUACUUUGCAUGCUUGUGCUAGUCACCACAUUGAUCACAAAAAAACAUGGCAUACAUCCCUGUAAAGAUGGCAUGGCAUAGCCCAAGACACAUGUAGGGCUCAAGUUCAUAGGAGGCACACAUUAAUCAUGGCAAAAAUGACAAAUGUCCAUAAUCUGAUAAGAAACAGAAACUAACAUUACAUAGCACUCUUGUAACAACAUUUAGGACAUCAAGAGGGACUCAAACAAGCAUGGUGCAAUGGAAUAAAAUAAAGAGCACAUCCAGACGAACAAUUUGAUAUAUUACACGCCCAAAACGGAGCUACGGAUGCAAAGUUAUGAUGCGAUAAACAUGCCAAAACAAUAACUAGAAAAAGGACUUAGGGAAAUUAGACCUCUCCGGUCAGAUCUAGGGUUCAAAGGGGUCCGCGAACCGAGCGGCGAUGCACGCACUCCGGCGAGGCGGUGGUGGCCGGGGACGGCGAGGAAAUGGUGGACCCGCCGGCUCCUGCCCGGAUCUGGCCGGAGACGGCGGGGAGCGGCGUGGCGGCGCCGGUCGGCGACGGGGCGGCGCGCNNNNNNNNNNNNNNNNNNNNNNNNNNNNNNNNNNNNNNNNNNNNNNNNNNNNNNNNNNNNNNNNNNNNNNNNNNNNNNNNNNNNNNNNNNNNNNNNNNNNNNNNNNNNNNNNNNNNNNNNNNNNNNNNNNNNNNNNNNNNNNNNNNNNNNNNNNNNNNNNNNNNNNNNNNNNNNNNNNNNNNNNNNNNNNNNNNNNNNNNNNNNNNNNNNNNNNNNNNNNNNNNNNNNNNNNNNNNNNNNNNNNNNNNNNNNNNNNNNNNNNNNNNNNNNNNNNNNNNNNNNNNNNNNNNNNNNNNNNNNNNNNNNNNNNNNNNNNNNNNNNNNNNNNNNNNNNNNNNNNNNNNNNNNNNNNNNNNNNNNNNNNNNNNNNNNNNNNNNNNNNNNNNNNNNNNNNNNNNNNNNNNNNNNNNNNNNNNNNNNNNNNNNNNNUCGGGGGCCCACUGCGGGCCGCGGCGGGCCGGCGGCGAAGGCAGUGGAGUGGGCCACGUGGCGCGCUGUGAUAGGCCGUGGGCGGCGGCGCGAUUCGUCCGGGGUCGCCCGGACGUGUCCGGUGGCGCGGAGGGGGAAAAUUAGGAUUUCGUCUACGAUUUUGAACGGGGAAGCCCUAUUUAUAGCUAGAGGGGGCUAGGAGAGUCCAAAUGAGGUGCGGUUUUCAGCCACGCGAUCGUGAUCGAACGACCGAGAGGAUGGAGGGGGUUAGGUGGGUUUUGGGCCACUUUGGAGAGGUGUUGGGCUGCAACACACACUAUGCCUUUACGGUUCCUCGGUUAACUGUUGGAGUAUCAAACGAAGUCCAAAUGACACGAAACUUGACAGGCGGUCUACCGGUAGUAUACCAAGGCCUCUUGGCAAGUCUCGGUCCAAUCCGAGAAGGUUUAACACUCGCACACGAAAAGAGGCAAAAGGGAGGCGCCGGAGGACAUAGGAUCGGAUCGCAAAACGGACAACGGGGAAAAUGCUACGUGAUGUGCACUAUAUAAUUUGGACCUUACGCCAACCAGGGAAGCAAAACGGAGUUGAUGUGCACUACUACCUCCGUUUCAGUUUACAAGUCCUGCGCGUAUACCUAGGUUGUCAAUUUUAUCACCCUAAUAUAAACUAUAUAACACAAAAAUUAUACCUUUUGAAAAUAGAAACUCCAAAGUUUAUGUUGGUAUAUUUUUUAUAAUAUAUGGUUUGUAUUAGGUUGGUCAAAUUGACGAUUUAGGGGUACACGCACGCCAAACUGAGAGAGAGGUAGUAUGUAAUUUGGACCUCAUCCAAGGAAGCAAAGCAACGGAGCUUCCGCCAUUCACUCCUAUGUGAUUACUAAUAGUGUUGCGUGAUGAUCAGUAGCUUCCGCCAAAUCUUAAAGUAACACUUACUAGCUUUCGCCAAAUACUAUGCUAAUUAACAAGCUUCCGCCAUCAUGUGUUAGUGGCUUCCGCCAAAUAGCAAAAAAAAGAAAACAAUGCAUUCGGACCGAGAGGAUACGUGGUGCAUUUUGGUUGGCCAGAUGGAUGUCUGAACUCCCGCAACCCCCUUCCUAGUUUGUCUUGGUUUGCAAAAAAAAGUACGUCCGGACCGCCAAGCGGAAGGACAGCGUUGGAUGGCAAAACACGUCCGAACGGAUGCAGGCGGUUUGAGGGCCCGUGUUGGAGAUGCCCUUACAGACCCAGUGCAUAGAAGCUCCCACACAAGGUGGGGUAUGGGGAGGGAUUAUAGAAACCUAGUCUUACCCCUGCAAAGUGCAAUGCAGAGAGGCUGGUUCGAACCCAGGACCUCUUGGCACAAGUGGGGAGGACUUCACCACUGCGCCAGGCCUGCCCUCUGUUGGAGAUGCCCUUACAAAUUAAGAAAUGAGAUGACAUGUAUCUCAAAUCCUAUGAGUAGGAAUAGAAACAAGAUGUCAUUUGGUUGACACCAAUUUUUUUUUUCAUUGAGUCUAGACUCUUUUUUAUUUCCCUAUGAAAUGUGGAGGAUAUGAACCAAUUCUAUGUAGGAAUAGGAAUCCAUUCCUAUGAACCAAAGGGCUCUAAAGGAAAAAA